AGUGAACGCUGGCGGUAGGCCUAACACAUGCAAGUCGAACGGCAGCACAGUAAGAGCUUGCUCUUACGGGUGGCGAGUGGCGGACGGGUGAGGAAUACAUCGGAAUCUACUUUUUCGUGGGGAUAACGUAGGGAAACUUACGCUAAUACCACAUACGACCUACGGGUGAAAGCAGGGGAUCUUCGGACCUUGUGCGAUUGAAUGAGCCGAGGUCGGACUAGCUAGUUGGCGUGGUAAAGGCCCACCAAGGCGACGAUCCGUAGCUGGUCUGAGAGGAUGAUCAGCCACACGGGAACUGAGACACGGUCCAGACUCCUACGGGAGGCAGCAGUGGGGAAUAUUGGACAAUGGGCGAAAGCCUGAUCCAGCAAUACCGCGUGGGUGAAGAAGGACUUCGGGUUGUAGAGCCCUUUUGUUGGGAAAGAAAAGAAGCAGGUUAAUACGCCGCUAUCCUGACGGUACCCAAAGAAUAAGCACCGGCUAACUUCGUG
rnacentral:rRNA from 1 species